rnacentral:rRNA from 1 species
GACGAACGCUGGCGGCGUGCCUAACACAUGCAAGUCGAGCGAUGAAAUCCCUUCGGGGAUGGAUUAGCGGCGGACGGGUGAGUAACACGUGGGUAACCUGCCUCAAAGUGGGGGAUAGCCUUCCGAAAGGAAGAUUAAUACCGCAUAAUAUUAGAUUUUCGCAUGAAGAACUAAUUAAAGAAGUAAUUCGCUUUGAGAUGGACCCGCGGCGCAUUAGCUAGUUGGUGAGGUAAUGGCUCACCAAGGCGACGAUGCGUAGCCGACCUGAGAGGGUAAUCGGCCACAUUGGAACUGAGACACGGUCCAGACUCCUACGGGAGGCAGCAGUGGGGAAUAUUGCACAAUAGGGGAAACCCUGAUGCAGCAACGCCGCGUGAGUGAUGAAGAUCUUCGGAUUGUAAAGCUCUGUCUUUUGGGACGAUAAUGACGGUACCAAAGGAGGAAGCCACGGCUAACUACGUGCCAGCCGCCGCCGUAAUAC